GAUCCUGGCUCAGAACGAACGCUGGUGGAGUGCCUUAUACAUGCAAGUCGAGCGAGGCUUCGAGCCGAGCGGCGGACGGGUGAGUAACGCGUGAGCAACCUGCCCCGGGGUUGGGGACAACCUUCCUAACGGAGGGCUAAUACCGAAUAUGGACGGGACCCGCCUGGGUCCCUGUCGAAAGAUUCAUCGCCCCGGGAUGGGCUCGCGUAGGAUUAGCUAGUUGGCGGGGUAGAGGCCCACCAAGGCGACGAUCCUUAGCCGGCCUGAGAGGGUGACCGGCCACAAUGGGACUGAGAUACGGCCCAUACUCCUACGGGAGGCAGCAGUAGGGAAUAUUGCGCAAUGGGCGAAAAGCCUGACGCAGCAACUCCACGUGUGGGACGACGCAUUUCGGUGUGUAAACCACUGUCGGGAGGGGACAAAACGCCCGCGAGGGUGAUUGAGGGUACCUCCAGAGGAAGCACCGGCAAACUUCGUGCCAGCAG
rnacentral:rRNA from 1 species